AUUGAACGCUGGCGGCAGGCCUAACACAUGCAAGUCGAGCGGAUGAAGGGAGCUUGCUCCUGGAUUCAGCGGCGGCCGGGUGAGUAAUGCCUAGGAAUCUGCCUGGUAGUGGGGGAUAACGUCCGGAAACGGGCGCUAAUACCGCAUACGUCCUGAGGGAGAAAGUGGGGGAUCUUCGGACCUCACGCUAUCAGAUGAGCCUAGGUCGGAUUAGCUAGUUGGUGGGGUAAAGGCCUACCAAGGCGACGAUCCGUAACUGGUCUGAGAGGAUGAUCAGUCACACUGGAACUGAGACACGGUCCAGACUCCUACGGGAGGCAGCAGUGGGGAAUAUUGGACAAUGGGCGAAAGCCUGAUCCAGCCAUGCCGCGUGUGUGAAGAAGGUCUUCGGAUUGUAAAGCACUUUAAGUUGGGAGGAAGGGCAGUAAGUUAAUACCUUGCUGUUUUGACGUUACCAACAGAAUAAGCACCGGCUAACUUCGUG
rnacentral:rRNA from 1 species